UACAGAGGUCCCAAGCGUUGUUCGGAUUCAUUGGGCGUAAAGGGUGCGUAGGCGGCGCGGUAAGUCGGGUGUGAAAUCUCGGGGCUUAACUCCGAAACUGCAUUCGAUACUGCCGUGCUUGAGGACUGGAGAGGAGACUGGAAUUUACGGUGUAGCGGUGAAAUGCGUAGAUAUCGUAAGGAAGACCAGUGGCGAAGGCGGGUCUCUGGACAGUUCCUGACGCUGAAACACGAAAGCGUGGGUAGCAAACAGG
rnacentral:rRNA from 1 species